rnacentral:lncRNA from 1 species
CCUCACCCUGUUCAGAGUCAUGAGAAUAUAUUCCAAUUGUGUUGAAAAGCUAAGUUUGGGGUAAAAACCCCAAAAGCUCUCAAAGCCCUAGAAAGUGCAAAAACAAGAGAAAAAAGAAAAAGUGAUGAAUCGAGAAAAAGAAAGAAAAAAGAAAAAAUAAAAUAAUCGAUGAUUCAAAAGAAAAAGCACGAAAAAGGGCAGUCGGUAAAAAAUUCAAGAAAUAAAGAAAAUCGAGGAAAUAAAAGAAACAAACACAAGAUGUAACAUCGACUUUGAACC